UACGGCGGGUGCAAGCGUUAAUCGGAAUUACUGGGCGUAAAGAGCGCGUAGGCGGUUGUGCAAGUCGGUGGUGAAAGCCCUCGGCUCAACUGAGGAAUUGCCCCCGAAACUGCACAACUGGAGUCCCGGAGAGGGUAGUGGAAUUCCCAGUGUAGCGGUGAAAUGCGUAGAUAUUGGGAGGAACACCCGUGGCGAAGGCGGCUACCUGGACGGGUACUGACGCUGAGGCGCGAAAGCGUGGGGAGCAAACAGG
rnacentral:misc_RNA from 1 species